UUUAUGGAGAGUUUGAUCCUGGCUCAGAGUGAACGCUGGCGGCGUGCCUAAUACAUGCAAGUCGAACGAUGAAGCUUCUAGCUUGCUAGAAUGCUGAUUAGUGGCGCACGGGUGAGUAACGCAUAGGUUAUGUGCCUCUUAGUUUGGGAUAGCCAUUGGAAACGAUGAUUAAUACCAGAUACUCCCUACGGGGGAAAGAUUUAUCGCUAAGAGAUCAGCCUAUGUCCUAUCAGCUUGUUGGUAAGGUAAUGGCUUACCAAGGCUAUGACGGGUAUCCGGCCUGAGAGGGUGAACGGACACACUGGAACUGAGACACGGUCCAGACUCCUACGGGAGGCAGCAGUAGGGAAUAUUGCUCAAUGGGGGAAACCCUGAAGCAGCAACGCCGCGUGGAGGAUGAAGGUUUUAGGAUUGUAAACUCCUUUUGUUAGAGAAGAUAAUGACGGUAUCUAACGAAUAAGCACCGGCUAACUCCGUGCCAGCAGCCGCGGUAAUACGGAGGGUGCAAGCGUUACUCGGAAUCACUGGGCGUAAAGAGCGCGUAGGCGGGAUAGUCAGUCAGGUGUGAAAUCCUAUGGCUUAACCAUAGAACUGCAUUUGAAACUACUAUUCUAGAGUGUGGGAGAGGUAGGUGGAAUUCUUGGUGUAGGGGUAAAAUCCGUAGAGAUCAAGAGGAAUACUCAUUGCGAAGGCGACCUGCUGGAACAUUACUGACGCUGAUUGCGCGAAAGCGUGGGGAGCAAACAGGAUUAGAUACCCUGGUAGUCCACGCCCUAAACGAUGGAUGCUAGUUGUUGGAGGGCUUAGUCUCUCCAGUAAUGCAGCUAACGCAUUAAGCAUCCCGCCUGGGGAGUACGGUCGCAAGAUUAAAACUCAAAGGAAUAGACGGGGACCCGCACAAGCGGUGGAGCAUGUGGUUUAAUUCGAAGAUACACGAAGAACCUUACCUAGGCUUGACAUUGAGAGAAUCCGCUAGAAAUAGUGGAGUGUCUGGCUUGCCAGACCUUGAAAACAGGUGCUGCACGGCUGUCGUCAGCUCGUGUCGUGAGAUGUUGGGUUAAGUCCCGCAACGAGCGCAACCCCCUUUCUUAGUUGCUAACAGGUCAUGCUGAGAACUCUAAGGAUACUGCCUCCGUAAGGAGGAGGAAGGUGGGGACGACGUCAAGUCAUCAUGGCCCUUACGCCUAGGGCUACACACGUGCUACAAUGGGGUGCACAAAGAGAAGCAAUACUGCGAAGUGGAGCCAAUCUUCAAAACACCUCUCAGUUCGGAUUGUAGGCUGCAACUCGCCUGCAUGAAGCUGGAAUCGCUAGUAAUCGCAAAUCAGCCAUGUUGCGGUGAAUACGUUCCCGGGUCUUGUACUCACCGCCCGUCACACCAUGGGAGUUGUGUUUGCCUUAAGUCAGGAUGCUAAAUUGGCUACUGCCCACGGCACACACAGCGACUGGGGUGAAGUCGUAACAAGGUAACCGUAGGUGAACCUGCGGUUGGAUCACCUCCUUUCUA
rnacentral:rRNA from 1 species